GAGGGUGCGAGCGUUGUCCGGAAUCACUGGGCGUAAAGGGCGCGUAGGCGGCGGGGGAAGUCCAUGGUGAAAGCUCGCGGCUCAACUGCGAGUCGGCCACGGAUACUCUUUCGCUCGAGCACUGUAGAGGCAGAUGGAAUUCCGGGUGUAGCGGUGGAAUGCGUAGAGAUCCGGAAGAACACCGGUGGCGAAGGCGGUCUGCUGGGCAGUAGCCGUAAGGCUUUAAAGCUGACGCUGAGGCGCGACAGCGUGGGGAGCAAACAGGAUUAGAUACCCUGGUAGUCCACGCCGUAAACGAUGGGCACUAGGUGCUUGGGGGAGCGACCCUCUGAGUGCCGGCGCUAACGCAUUAAGUGCCCCGCCUGGGGAGUACGGCCGCAAGGCUG
rnacentral:rRNA from 1 species